rnacentral:lncRNA from 1 species
AAAGGAAAAGGGAGAAAGAGAAAUCUUUCUGUCUUAAGAGUAAUUAGCAAUGGCUUCCUCAGUUCUUUCCUCAGCAGCAGUUGCCACCCGCAGCAAUGUUGCUCAAGCUAACAUGGUUGCACCUUUCACAGGUCUUAAGUCUGCUGCCUCGUUCCCUGUUUCAAGAAAGCAAAACCUUGACAUCACUUCCAUUGCCAGCAACGGCGGAAGAGUGCAAUGCAUGCAGGUAAACUGACAAUUUUGAUACAAUUAACGUAUCUUAACAUGUCAUGGCUAAAAUUUCUAUUUGGUGGAGUACAGGUGUGGCCACCAAUUAACAUGAAGAAGUAUGAGACUCUCUCAUACCUUCCCGAUUUGAGCCAGGAGCAAUUGCUCUCCGAAAUUGAGUACCUUUUGAAAAAUGGAUGGGUUCCUUGCUUGGAAUUCGAGACUGAGGUCAAUAUCUGUUUUAAAUGUUGCACGCUCCCUCUAUUUUAUGCCAUAUCUAUUUGUUCCAAAAAAAUUGAACUUUAAACUUUAAUGUGUUAUUUCGUAUGUGCAGAAAGGAUUUGUCUACCGUGAACACCACAAGUCACCAGGAUACUAUGAUGGCAGGUUAGUAGCAGAUCCACAAUUAUUUAGUUAAAUUAUGGAUAUAUGCGUGUAAAUCUUGAAAAAUAAUCAGAACAAAAUCUUAAAAUAUAAAUGUUGUGAUACAGAUACUGGACCAUGUGGAAGCUACCUAUGUUCGGAUGCACUGAUGCCACCCAAGUGUUGGCUGAGGUGGGAGAGGCGAAGAAGGAAUACCCACAGGCCUGGGUCCGUAUCAUUGGAUUUGACAACGUGCGUCAAGUGCAGUGCAUCAGUUUCAUUGCCUCCAAGCCUGACGGCUACUGAGUUUCAUAUU